AACAAUUACCCUGAUGAGUGAGAGGGAAGCUGCGGAUGCAUUCAGACACCUAUGGCACUGCAGACUCCACGCACUCAGCAUUUUGUGUUUAGUGUCUUGUGUUUUUGAGAGCAGACAAAUACUAUGAUGUCCUCGAUACCUGGAAACACCACCACCACCUCCUUCCUGUUCACCACCACAGCCCCUCUUGUAACCAAAAAUUUGCAAAAGGGGAGUUUGGAGUAUGCUGUGCAGAAGACAACUGAAAUUGAGUUGAGUUUUCAAACAUUCACCACCUUUAUCUCAUAUAAGCAUGUGAGGAAUGAACAGCAAUUGUUUAUCAUUUGGAAGGAAAAGCUACUAUCCAACCUCUUGUCUACUUAGGAGCAUUUGUUAAAGCGUCUCA